CUUGUUAUUAAUCCCUAAAUGCAUGACCUUACACUUCUCACUAUUCAAUUUCAUCCUAUUACUAUUACUCCAGUUUACAAGGUCAUCCAGAUCCUCCUGUAUGAUAUCCUGGUCCUUCUCUAAAUAGGCAAUACCUCCCAGUUUUGUAGCUACUGCAACUUUAUUA